AGGACGAACGCUGGCGGCGUGCUUAACACAUGCAAGUCGGACGGUGAUCCUGCUUCGGUGGGUGAUCAGUGGCGAACGGGUGAGUAACACGUGAGCAACCUGCCCUUGGCUUCGGGAUAACUCCGGGAAACCGGGGCUAAUACCGGAUGUGACACGCUUCUGCAUGGGGGUGUGUGGAAAGAUUUAUUGGCCAGGGAUGGGCUCGCGGCCUAUCAGCUUGUUGGUGGGGUGAUGGCCUACCAAGGCGACGACGGGUAGCCGGCCUGAGAGGGCGACCGGCCACACUGGGACUGAGACACGGCCCAGACUCCUACGGGAGGCAGCAGUGGGGAAUAUUGCGCAAUGGGCGGAAGCCUGACGCAGCGACGCCGCGUGGGAUGACGGCUUCGGGUUGUAACCUCUUCAGCUCCGAAGAAGCCUUCGGUGACGGUAGGGCGACGAAGAAGCGACCGGCGUAACUACGU
rnacentral:rRNA from 1 species